rnacentral:rRNA from 1 species
CUUAUACUACCCUGAAUGCAUCUAGUCUCCUCUGAUUUCAGAAGCUAAAGAGGGUCACACCUGGUUAGUUCUUGGAUGGGGGAAUAUCAUAGGCAUCUAGGUAAGGC